rnacentral:tRNA from 1 species
GUGGGAGCUACAGUUCAGUCGGUAAAGUGCUUACUGCAGAAGCAAGAGGACCUGAGUUCAAUCCCCAGCACUCACG